rnacentral:rRNA from 1 species
AGAGGAAGUAAAAGUCGUAACAAGGUUUCCGUAGGUGAACCUGCGGAAGGAUCAUUAACGAAUAUAAUUCGAGGGGUUGUCGCUGGCCUCGCUCGCGCGAGGCAUGUGCACGCUUCUCGUUUUUCUCUCAACUCACCUGUGCACCUAAUGUAGGAUGCCUCUCCUCCGGGAGGGGGGACCUAUGUCUUCGUAACAUCUUCGUGUAGAAAGUCUUUGAAUGUUUACUAUCAUCGAGUCGCGACUUCUAGGAGACGCGGUUCUUUGAGAUAAAAGUUAUUACAACUUUCAGCAACGGAUCUCUUGGCUCUCGCAUCGAUGAAGAACGCAGCGAAAAGCGAUAUGUAAUGUGAAUUGCAGAUCUACAGUGAAUCAUCGAAUCUUUGAACGCACCUUGCGCUCCUCGGUGUUCCGAGGAGCAUGCCUGUUUGAGUGUCAGUAAAUUCUCAACCCCUCUCGAUUAGCUUCGAGAGGGCGCUUGGAUAGUGGAGGUUGCCGGAGACUUGGAUUCGUCCGAGACUCGGGCUCUUCUGAAAUGCAUCGGCUUGCGGUCGACUUUCGACUAUGUGCGACAAGG